UACGUAGGUGACCAGCGUUGUCCGGAUUUACUGGGCGUAAAGAGCGCGCAGGCGGUCGUUCAAGUCGAGUGUGAAAGCCCCCGGCUCAACUGGGGAGGGUCACUCGAUACUGAUCGACUUGAAGGCAGGAGAGGGGAGCGGAAUUCCCGGUGUAGUGGUGAAAUGCGUAGAUAUCGGGAGGAACACCAGUGGCGAAGGCGGCUUCCUGGCCUGUUCUUGACGCUGAGGCGCGAAAGCUAGGGGAGCAAACGGG
rnacentral:rRNA from 1 species